AUAUAGACAUUUGAUAAUAACAGUUACAAUUUUUUUAUUUUUUCAACAAAAUAUGUAUUUUUAUAUUUUCUGUUUUUAUAAUAAAAUUUAUUUGUUUUAAAUCUUUUUUGAAACCAUAUUUGUGUUCUCCAGAUUUCUGUAUAUAUUAUGAUUUUAUAAAUUACUUUUCAAUUAAUGUAAAUCCAGAAUCCUUUAUAUACUAAAGUGCAACUCGAUCGACCAAUUUUAUUGCUACAAAUGGAUUAUAUCUAAGAUUAAAAACUAAUUAAAUUAAAAUUCUUGCAGUUAGAUAAUUGUAAAAGGUAAAAAGUUAAAUAAAAAUGUGUCUAUCCAUUCUUUACUAUCUUCAAUUUUCAAAAACUUAAAUCCUUAGAUUUUCUCUAUUCACUACCACCACGUUCAAGGUGAAUCAUGUUAUUUGCAUAACUUUCAAAUCAUGGCCAUAUUUUAAACGGUUUCAUAUCUAUCUAUCUAUCUAUACUAAUAAAGUGAGUUUUUCUCCCUCGUUUGCUGACAAGUGUCGUCCUUUCAUUCGUUUCGAAUUGGGCUUUGGUUUUUAAUUCAGCCUUCUUUUCUGUGUUUAUGUUGAUUUUGAAUUGGGUUUCUUAUUCUUUGCUUCAGGCCCAGUUAGCAUAUGUUUACCUUUCUUUUUCCGUUUUUUCUUCGUAACCUUCACCAACGAUUUGAUUUAGCAAAAAAAAAAUGCAGAGACCGAACACGACGAUCACCUCUCUGUAAUCUCUCAAGUUCGCAUUGACACCUUCUUUACUAAUUAAUGCUUUGAUUUUAAUGAUGGUGUUCAAUCAAACCAAGCCAUCGCUUUCUCGUCCAUCCAGCUUCCCUUCGGACCCUCCCUUCGUAACCAAACCCAAUCUAUAUAUAUAUGAACCCAAACGAGUAGUCUCUGCAAAUCUUAUCGCCUCGGUUUCUUCUUUCACACCAUUCUAUCUGUAAGAGUCUGAAAGCAUGGUUAAUCCUCAGCUUCGUCUGAGCUGAGGGUUAGACGUUGUAAGGAGACUGUUCUCACCCGGCUCCUUCAUCUUAGGGAAGCAAGGAAUAUGAAGAAAGGUGGUGAGUAAUGGCCGUUGAUAUGGGUUUGGUGGACGAGAAGCAUCUUAGAGAAGGAUGGAUUUUUGAGCUCCGUGUAUUCGAGGUCACUGACGGCAGUACCCGUCUCGGACCAAACCACUUUCCUCGAGAUUAUGGAAACAAACAACCCUUUACCUACGGAGAUCUUCAUGUUCUGCAAUUAUGAGGAACUUAUGUUGCUAAUACGUACACCCAAUUACGAGGUUAGUUUCAAGCAUAACCUCAAUAGUCGUACGAGUCAAUACAUAUCUUCGAUAAUUAAAAUGUCAUAAUACGUCACUGUUUCAUACAAGAUAGUUUUGGUGAAGUAAUGGCCAUCAAAAACACAUAUAUGAUACAACUAUGAAACACAUACAAUCAGUGCCGGCCCAGUCUAUAAUAUUGCCUAAAGCAAAAACCAAAUUUCGCGCCCCAAGAGAUUCGAACCUAUCAACUUUAAACCAGGUAAGGGUACACAACCACUAGGGCACAUGAAAGUUUUGGUCAUUGUGAUGCCCAUAAAUAUACAAUCCAGCUCUGUUUUCGGGAAGCUCAGAAUGUGAAAAAGGUGGUGCACUUAUGGGUGUCGACAUGCUAACUAUUGGAUGAUAAGGCAGGCAUAUCUCAUCCAAGCCUCUGUAAUGGUCCAUCGGCUUAACGCAUUCAAGUAACUUCUUAAGGAGGGAGCUACACAUGAGCUUAGUGGAGAAUUUGAUGGUAACAAGAAUUUGGAGCACGAGAUCUCCAUGAGACUUUUAGCUAAGGCGAAGAUAAGCUCUUUAUAAGUUAUCUUCUCCUCUACGUGUUACGUGAAUUAGUCUCUUCAAUUUGUUCAAAGUGAUUCUCUUCAGCUUGAUCAUAAUAUCAUUGAAUGUAUAAACCGCUAAGCAAAGCACAAUAUAUACACAAGAACCCGGAGGAAUGGAGUGUAAGGGAUUCUCAGUCAUGUGUUAUGUAAGCUCUUCUAUCAACAAGAGACUGUGAAGAUCAAUAUAAUCAAACCAAGAAGUCAAUUUUGGAUUGUUGGAAGGGAUGGAGAGUCUGGGAUGACAAGGUGAUACUGUAGGUUCCAUUGCCCGCCACAGUUUACCAAUAACUGGUUAGAUUACAUAGCACAUCUACUUUAUUUUCACUAUUAAAUUAGUUUUUCUUCACCGCAGUAGCUCUUGGAGGCUCAAGUGCUCAACCUUUCUUUUGGUCGCUAAUGCGUGGAAAAGUACCAGAGCUGGCGUUGUUGGGAUGAGGAGUUUGAGUUUCCGCUCACAGUACCAGAGCUGGCGUUGCUCACAGUUGAAGUUCAUGCCAGAGAAGGACGACUUUGAGACAGGGUAUACGUUAUGUUCCUUUGUAUGAUCACAAAGGCGAGAGACUUGUCGUGCUCGGUUACACUUCUAAUGUGGUUUUCCAGUUUGUUUAUAAAUCAGAGUUUCUUUCUUCUUAUACUGUCGUACUUCAAAAGAGUUGUAGUAGAGAAGUUUUUUAUUACGCAAAACAUAUAAGAUAUAACGAAUCAAAUAACUAUGAUUGGAUAUA